rnacentral:rRNA from 1 species
GACGAACGCUGGCGGCGUGCCUAAUACAUGCAAGUCGAACGCAGUGGGGACGGGUGAGUAACACGUGGGUGACCUCCCCUAAGAGGGGAUAACACUUGGAUACAGGUGCUAAACCGAUACUGAUGGAUGAACCCGCGGUGCAUUAGCUAGUUGGUGGGGUAACGGCUCACCAAGGCCACGAUGCAUAGCCGACCUGAGAGGGUGAUCAGCCACACUGGGACUGAGACACGGCACAGACUCCUACGGGAGGCAGCAGUAGGGAAUCUUCGGCAAUGGACGAAAGUCUGACCGAGCAACGCCGCGUGAGUGAAGAAGGUUUUCGGAUCGUAAAACUCUGUUGGGAGAGAAGCGGUAUCUAACCAGAAAGCCACGGCUAACUACGUGCCAGCAGCCGCGGUAAUAC